rnacentral:rRNA from 1 species
GACGAACGCUGGCGGCGUGCUUAACACAUGCAAGUCGAGCGGUAAGGCCCUUUCGGGGGUACACGAGCGGCGAACGGGUGAGUAACACGUGGGUGACCUGCCCUCAGCUCUGGGAUAAGCCUGGGAAACUGGGUCUAAUACCGGAUAUGACUCCAUGACGCAUGUUGUGGGGUGGAAAGCCUUGUGCGGCUGAGGAUGGGCCCGCGGCCUAUCAGCUUGUUGGUGGGGUGAGGCCUACCAAGGCGACGACGGGUAGCCGGCCUGAGAGGGCGACCGGCCACACUGGGACUGAGACACGG